UACGUAGGGCGCAAGCGUUGUCCGGAAUUAUUGGGCGUAAAGAGCUCGUAGGCGGUUUGUCGCGUCUGCUGUGAAAACCUAAGGCUCAACCUUGGGCUUGCAGUGGGUACGGGCAGACUAGAGUGCAGUAGGGGAGACUGGAAUUCCUGGUGUAGCGGUGAAAUGCGCAGAUAUCAGGAGGAACACCGAUGGCGAAGGCAGGUCUCUGGGCUGUAACUGACGCUGAGGAGCGAAAGCAUGGGGAGCGAACAGG
rnacentral:rRNA from 1 species